GAUGAACGCUAGCGAUAGGCUUAACACAUGCAAGUCGAGGGGCAGCAUGGUCUUAGCUUGCUAAGACUGAUGGCGACCGGCGCACGGGUGCGUAACGCGUAUGCAACUUGCCUCACAGAGGGGGAUAACCCGUCGAAAGACGGACUAAUACCGCGUACACUCCAUCUUGGGCAUCCAAGGUAGAGGAAAUGAAAUUCGCUGUGAGAUAGGCAUGCGUCCCAUUAGCUAGUUGGUGAGGUAACGGCUCACCAAGGCGACGAUGGGUAGGGGAACUGAGAGGUUGAACCCCCACACUGGUACUGAGACACGGACCAGACUCCUACGGGAGGCAGCAGUGAGGAAUAUUGGUCAAUGAGCGAGAGCCUGAACCAGCCAAGUCGCGUGAAGGAUGACUGUCUUAUGGAUUGUAAUCUUCUUUUAUACAAGAAUAGCAGGAGUCACGUGUGACUCCCUGCAGGUACCGUAUGAAUAAGCAUCGGCUAACUCCGUG
rnacentral:rRNA from 1 species